AAUAUUGGAGCUGGGGGGGGGGGGGUGUCGUCUAUCAACCACUGCAGAGAUCUCCUCAGACCCAGGGGAGAUGUUCCUUACCUACUGCUGAUCCUGAGAGAGCCUCUGCUUACAGGGAAAAAUUGCAAACAACCUGAGCAGAGAUCAAUGCCAUCUCAAAUUUGGGAGUCUUGGACAACGGUGUUAAAAACAUGCACAGAUCCCUGUUCCCCUCGCUCUUGCCCUCUUCUCCUUCUCUCUGGUGAAUCGUUAGCUGUGUGUACAAGGCACAGAAGCAAGAGCUCCCACAGAAGCAGAGGAAGUGAAAGAUUUACUGACCCGAUCGUGCUGUGCAUAGCGACGGAGGCUGAAAUACAACUGAGAAGGGAGGCCUCUAAAUAUCAGUGCAGCAACAGUUAAAACAAAUGUACAAAUGUCUAGACUGCAGUGAUUCCCCUUCAUUCCGUGAUUCACACGGCAGCAGAACACUACUACUAAUCAAAUUAAUAAAUUGGCCACUGCUGCAACAACAUUGGCAUUGCACAAUA